rnacentral:rRNA from 1 species
GAGUUUGAUCCUGGCUCAGAACGUACGCUGGCGGCACGCCUAACACAUGCAAGUCGAACGCAGUAGCAAUACUGAGUGGCAAACGGGUGAGUAUAAUGUGGGAAUCUGCCUUUUGGUUUGGAAUAACACGGGGAAACCUGUGCUAAUACCGAAUAAGCCUUUACAGGGAAAGUUUUAAUGCCGAAAGAUGAGCCUGCACUUGAUUAGCUAGUUGGUAAGGUAAAAGCUUACCAAGGCAACGAUCAAUAGCUGUUCUUAGAGGAAGACCAGCCACAUUGGGACUGAGACACGGCCCAGACUCCUACGGGAGGCAGCAGUGGGGAAUCUUGCACAAUGGGGGAAACCCUGAUGCAGCGAUGCCGCGUGAGUGAAGAAGGCCCUUGGGUUGUAAAACUCUUUCGUCGGGGAAGAAAAUGACUGUACCCGAAUAAGAAGGUCCGGCUAACUUCGUGCCAGCAGCCGCGGUAAUACGAAGGGACCUAGCGUAGUUCGGAAUUACUGGGCUUAAAGAGCUCGUAGGUGGUUGAAAAAGUUGAUGGUGAAAUCCCAAGGCUCAACCUUGGAACUGCCAUCAAAACUUUUUAGCUAGAGUGUGAUAGAGGUAAGUGGAAUUUCUAGUGUAGAGGUGAAAUUCGUAGAUAUUAGAAAGAACACCAAAUGCGAAGGCAACUUACUGGAUCACUACUGACACUGAGGAGCGAAAGCAUGGGUAGCGAAGAGGAUCAGAUACCCUCGUAGUCCAUGCCGUAAACGAUGUGUGCUAGACGUUGGAAAUAUAUUUUUCAGUGUCGCAGCGAAAGCAUUAAGCACACCGCCUGGGGAGUACGACCGCAAGGUUAAAACUCAAAUGAAUUGACGGGGACCCGCACAAGCAGUGGAGCAUAUGGUUUAAUUCGAAGAUACGCGUAGAACCUUACCAACACUUGACAUGUUCGUCGCGAGACUAAGAGAUUAGUCUUUUCAGUUCGGCUGGACGAAACACAG